rnacentral:rRNA from 1 species
GAGUUUGAUCAUGGCUCAGAGUGAACGCUGGCGGCAGGCCUAACACAUGCAAGUCGAACGGCAGCACAGCAGUAGCAAUACUGUGGGUGGCGAGUGGCGGACGGGUGAGGAAUGCAUCGGAAUCUGCCUAUUUGUGGGGGAUAACGUAGGGAAACUUACGCUAAUACCGCAUACGUCCUACGGGAGAAAGUGGGGGACCGCAAGGCCUCACGCGAUUGGGUUGGCCGAUGUCCGAUUAGCUAGUUGGCGGGGUAAAGGCCCACCAAGGCGAUGAUCGGUAGCUGGUCUGAGAGGAUGAUCAGCCACACUGGGACUGAGACACGGCCCAGACUCCUACGGGAGGCAGCAGUGGGGAAUUUUGGACAAUGGGGGAAACCCUGAUCCAGCCAUUCCGCGUGAGUGAAGAAGGCCUCGGUUGUAAG